rnacentral:rRNA from 1 species
AUUGAACGCUGGCGGCAGGCCUAACACAUGCAAGUCGAGCGAGCGGCGGACGGGUGAGUAAUGUAUGGGGACUGCCCGAUAGAGGGGGAUAACUACUGGAAACGGUGGCUAAUACCGCAUACUGUCGGAUAACCCAUAUGGGAUUAGCUAGUAGGUAAGGGAAUGGCUUACCUAGGCGACGAUACGUAGCUGGUCUGAGAGGAUGAUCAGCCACACUGGGACUGAGACACGGCCCAGACUCCUACGGAGGCAGCAGUGGGGAAUAUUGCACAAUGGGCGAAAGCCUGACGGAGCAACGCCGCGUGUGUGAAGAAGGUCUUAGGGUUGUAAAGUACUGUCAGUAGGGAAGCGGUACCGACAGAAGAAGCAACGGCUAACUCCGUGCCAGCAGCCGCGGUAAUAC